UACGUAGGGUGCGAGCGUUAAUCGGAAUUACUGGGCGUAAAGCGUGCGCAGGCGGUUUGAUAAGACAGGCGUGAAAUCCCCGAGCUUAACUUGGGAAUGGCGCUUGUGACUGUCAGGCUAGAGUGCGUCAGAGGGGGGUAGAAUUCCACGGUGUAGCAGUGAAAUGCGUAGAGAUGUGGAGGAAUACCGAUGGCGAAGGCAGCCCCCUGGGACGUGACUGACGCUCAUGCACGAAAGCGUGGGGAGCAAACAGG
rnacentral:rRNA from 1 species